rnacentral:rRNA from 1 species
UACGUAGGGUGCAAGCGUUGUCCGGAAUUAUUGGGCGUAAAGAGCUCGUAGGCGGUUUGUUGCGUCGGCUGUGAAAUCCCGAGGCUCAACCUCGGGUCUGCAGUCGAUACGAGCAAACUAGAGUGUUGCAGGGGAGACUGGAAUUCCUGGUGUAGCGGUGAAAUGCGUAGAGAUCCGGAAGAACACCGGAGGCGAAGGCGGCUUGCUGGGCUCGGUCUGACGCUGAGGCGCGAAAGCGUGGGGAGCAAACAGG